CAGAUCAAUCCCCGGUUAUGUUUCGCAGUGGAAAAGAAGAUUGUCAGUUUAUGGCCUCACGAGUACUCUCGUUAUAGCUCUGCUGCCAUCUGCUGACAAUUGCCUUGUACUGGGGCUCAGUGGGGCUUGGUACAGCUCUGAAUGGUGUGCUCGUGUUUACCGCAGCUCGUGGCUUUGCUGGCUUUAGAGAUGGAUGGAGCCUGUAUGGUAAGGUUUCUCUCCAGCUUCAUCUGCUGUGUGCUGGGGUGCUAAUGAGGUUGCAACUCUGAUGCCUCUGGUGCAGGAAGGGACUGUCGGGGUGGCAUGGUCCAUACCCUGUGGAUGCUCCCCUGUGGCAGCAUGGCCUACUGGUCCAUUCCCCUUAUGCCAAGGCUCCUUGCCAUCCCAUGGGUGUUCCUGCUUCCCCCUCAGCCACCAUGUGUCCAGAGCAGAAGACAAAGUCAGAGGAAAACCUGAUCUGAGUUCAGCGUUAGGCUUGCUUUGAGGAGGGAUGGACUAGAGGAGCUCUAGAGGUCCCUUCUCACCCAGCUUGUUCUUUGGUUCUGCUUUCUGCCAUUUGUUUCAGUUAUUUCUACACUGGUGGGAAGUGGUAGCAUAUGCAGCCAGAUGCUGGGGUGGGAAUGGGGCUGAGAUGUACAAACAGAGCUGGGCAGGAUGUUCCAACACAGCCCCAAAAGAGCUGAGCUACUGGGUAUGUCCAGCACCCUGGGCUCAAACCAUGAUGUUUCUCAGGAAAGCAGCUGCUGCACCACAUCCAGCUACUGCAGAAGGUUCCCAGUACCUGCAGUGAAGUGCUGAUGGUUUUCAUGGUGCUGGGUAUACCCUGAUAACUACAAAAUAUUUUUCUGACUGACCUGUAUACUCUGAGAAUUCACUUACACUGGGAUUCCUGGUAGAAAAUAUGAAGGACUAAUCUAUGAAAACCAUCUAUGAAUAAUAUGUAUUUAUUUUAUGAAUUUAUUGUAUGAAUAACGCUCUGGAAAGUAUACCCCAAGAGGCUGAAGAAAGCUGUAUCAAUGCUUUCCAGAAUGGGAAUCUAACUCUGAUGUAUUCAGUGAUGUGUCUGUUAGAUCUUUAAAGCUUCUGCUUAUUGAAUCUUUCAAUUUCUCGUGGCCGUCUGAUCAGACUGACCACCAUGCUGCAUUUCUAGGUGUGAUCCUACCCCUAUCCCACACACCCUGCCACUCAUGGCUGUCCAGCCUCGGCGAAAAUCUCUUGGUCCUAUACUGUGUCUUUAAGAACCUAUUUGUUUGUUUCAGAACAUACCUGUCAUUUUUGUCUGCUCGAGUAAUUUUCCCAGUCAAACACAAUAUGUACCUGGAAAAUUGCCAUCUGCCUCUUUGACUGCUCAGAGAAUGGUAUCAGUGUCUCUGAAUGCCACCCGCCAUCUGCCAGGCAGGCUGCCACUCUCCCAGAUCCUCACUGCUGUUUUAGGUCUAACAGCUGUACAACAGCAACAUGUACUGUUGGGUGAGUUUGUUGCUAUGAGGAAUAAACCAAUUUCUAUAUGAAGCCAAUACUGGAUAAUAGAAUAUAUGCAAGUCAUGUAGAUCAGACUUUAUUAUUCAACAGCCUUUGCAAUGACUCAGUGACUCUUUCCAAACGGAGGUGUGCAACUAACCUUAUGUUCUACAUCUGAGAUUAAACUACAGUGACAAGAAGA